GUCUCUGAAGCGCAAUGGAUAGCGCGUUGUACUUCUAAUCCAAAUGUUGUGGGUUCGGACCCAUCUGAGAUG